GAUGAGUAGAUACUCCGCAAGAAGAUACAACAACUGUCAGUAAAACAAAUUACAAUCCGGAUGUUGAUAGACCUUUUCGUGAAUUAUCGAUAACCGCACCGAAAGCGCCGCUUUUCGAAUUAACAGUUAAGAAGCGCCUGAAGAUGCAAAUGUAAUUCAAUCUUGGAGCGCGCUAGGAUUUGUAUAAAUCUGCUAAUGAAAUCCAAGCGCGAGAUAUCUCAAGAAGAAUGACGUCGAUGAAUAAAGGAGGUCAAAUGCCGAUCGUGACAGCCUGCUAAUUACAGCUUGCGUCUUGUCUACCGCAGACUAUAUUUAACAACGUUGUCAAUGACUGCUAUUGAUGUUCCUAAGUGUGUCCUGUGCAAACACGACGAAUUCAAAAUUGCGAGCACGUAAAACAAAGUAAUGAUAACAUUA